AUCUUGGACAAUGGGCGAAAGCCUGAUCCAGCCAUGCCGCGUGAGUGAUGAAGGCCUUAGGGUUGUAAAGCUCUUUCGCCAGGGAAGAUAAUGACGGUACCUGGAUAAGAAGCCCCGGCUAACUUCGUGCCAGCAGCCGCGGUAAUACGAAGGGGGCUAGCGUUGUUCGGAAUUACUGGGCGUAAAGCGCACGUAGGCGGAUUGGCAAGUUAGGGGUGAAAUCCCGGGGCUCAACCCCGGAACUGCCUUUAAAACUGCCGGUCUAGAGUUCGAGAGAGGUGAGUGGAAUUCCGAGUGUAGAGGUGAAAUUCGUAGAUAUUCGGAGGAACACCAGUGGCGAAGGCGGCUCACUGGCUCGAUACUGACGCUGAGGUGCGAAAGCGUGGGGAGCAAACAGG
rnacentral:rRNA from 1 species